UUGGCCCUCAAUCAAGGCCAGUGGUUUGCUGUAGCUGCUGGUUUCAACAGGAGCCCAGAGGAAGCAGCUCCCGGUCUGUUGGUGCUCCCCAUCCCUGUGGAUCAACCAAUUCGUGUGGGAGCAACAGGA